rnacentral:rRNA from 1 species
GACGAACGCUGGCGGCGUGCCUAAUACAUGCAAGUCGAGCGGAAGUUGAAGAGCUUGCUCUUCAACUUUAGCGGCGGACGGGUGAGUAACACGUGGGCAACCUGCCCUGCAGAUCGGGAUAACUCCGGGAAACCGGUGCUAAUACCGAAUAGUUUUCGCCACCUCCUGGUGGCGUACGGAAAGACGGUUUCGGCUGUCACUGCAGGAUGGGCCCGCGGCGCAUUAGCUAGUUGGUGGGGUAACGGCCCACCAAGGCGACGAUGCGUAGCCGACCUGAGAGGGUGAUCGGCCACACUGGGACUGAGACACGGCCCAGACUCCUCCGGGAGGCAGCAGUAGGGAAUCUUCCGCAAUGGACGAAAGUCUGACGGAGCAACGCCGCGUGAGUGACGAAGGUUUUCGGAUCGUAAAACUCUGUUGUGAGGGAAGAACAAGUACCACUUAACUACUGGUACCUUGACGGUACCUCACCAGAAAGCCACGGCUAACUACGUGCCAGCAGCCGCCGUAA